AGGCAGGCAGGCGGAGGCAGGCAGGCAGGCGGAGGCAGGCAGGCGGAGGCAGGCAGGCGGAGGCAGGCGGAUUUAAACACCAAUUUAUGUCUCUGAUAAAAGUAUUUGUCCUCCCAGGGGAUGAGUUGGCGUGACUACCACAUCACUAUAAUAGAGCUGCCUGAAGGUUGUCCUAAAAACGCUUUGUCCAUCAACCAGCUGUACAGAAACUGUCGUGGUAAGAUCCCCAAGCAUAAGUUCAGGUACUGGGAGAAUUACUGGGAAGAAGCUGACGACAUCUGGGAUGUACUUGACGACGGCUCCUCCAUAGACCGCUGGCAGUAUGAAAGAGAGGAAUGGAUCCUCUAGUGAAGACACACCAGUACCUCCAUUUUGUGUGAACUACUGUUUUUAAUAUUUUUUUUUUUAGCUUUUUUCAAAACUACACUUUUAAAGAGUAUUGGUUACCUAGCAACCCCUAGAACCCAACAACAACUCAUACCUUACUGUUGUACUUGUCUUUCUUGCACUGACGCCUGUUUUGGUUGUGUCUGAGGCAUUUUUGGUAUAUCAUAUCGUUGAUCGUUGUUUUGGCACCACUCGAGUUAGAAGUUCAGAACGAGAAACUGUAAGC
rnacentral:lncRNA from 1 species